ensembl:lncRNA
AUUUUGUGAUCAGCUGGCUUGGUCAGCACAUUGGAGAAAGCAUUUGGAGGGGCUUAUCUGGAUUCAAACCUGGGCUUUGCCAAAUCAUGACCUGUGUGAUCUUGAGUAAGCAACCUGCCUUCUUAGCCUCAGUUUACUUUUCUGUGGGAUAGCAAUACAAAAAGCAUAAAGAGGUUGGACUUUGUGGAGGCCACAUGUAUUCUACCUUAUAGACUGCACUGAACACAGUAACAGAAGAUAAAGCCUCUUCCAGCAGAAUAAGAGAAGAGAAGCUUUUUGACUCAGGAAUGCUUUCUCAAGAACCUGAGAGACAUCUCUUAAAAGGCAAACAUUUUGAGAACCACCUUUUUGAAAUUCAAGCAUCAAAAGAAGUGGUUUCCUAUCACCUCUACUUCAAGAAAUAAAAUGCCUCCAAAAAAGGUAUUUGCUUAGGAGUAGCACCACCAUGGUGUCACACCAUCAGCAGAGAGGAACACGCUGGAGCCCUGCAGAGUAGUGGAUCUAGGGCGUGGACCGCGGAGAACACGGAAUCUUCAUGUUGAGGGACACCCAGGGAACCAUCCAGCCGUGGCAUCCCCCAUGAAACAUGGAUUCCCUUGUCAACAUCCUGUCCCUUUUGUCACCUACUUUUUGCUUCAGAUUUCUUUGUGGCAAAGAAUUCCAAAUGAUGGUAACAAUGACUGUUUCCAGUGAAUGUUGUAACAUUCUUUAAAUUCUUUUUCUAAUAUCGCUAGAAAGUUGAGCAAGUGAACAAUUAGGAAAUGUUGCCAAGGUCAAGAUGAAAUUAGACAAAAAACUAUUUAUAAUAAAAUUAGUGCUUUGCUGCCUGGA